CCUACGGGAGGCAGCAGUGGGGCAUAUUGCGCAAUGGGCGAAAGCCUGAAGCAGCGACGCCGCGUGAUGGAUGAAGGUCUUCGGAUCGUAAAACUCUGUCAGCAGGGAAGAACGGUCACUGUGCUAAUCAGCAGUGAAUUGACGGGACCUGCAAAGGAAGCACCGGCUAACUCCGUGACAGCAGCCGCGGUAAUACGGAGGGUGCGAGCGUUAAUUGGAAUUAAUGGCCGUAAAGCGCUCGUAGGAGGUAUGUCAAGUCAAGGGUGAAAUCCCCGCGCUCAACGUGGGAACUGCCUUUGAAACUGGCAAACUGGAGUUGGUGAGAGGAUAGUGGAAUUCCAGGUGGAGGAGUGAAAUCCGUAGAUAUCUGGAGGAACAUCAGUGGCGAAGGCGACUAUCUGGCACAUAACUGACGCUGAGGAGCGAAAGCGUGGGUAGCAAACAGGAUUAGAUACCCUUGUAGUC
rnacentral:rRNA from 1 species